UACGUAGGGCGCAAGCGUUGUCCGGAGUUAUUGGGCGUAAAGAGCUCGUAGGCGGCUUGUCACGUCGGAUGUGAAAGCCCGAGGCUUAACCUCGGGUCUGCAUUCGAUACGGGCUAGCUAGAGUGUGGUAGGGGAGAUCGGAAUUCCUGGUGUAGCGGUGAAAUGCGCAGAUAUCAGGAGGAACACCGGUGGCGAAGGCGGAUCUCUGGGCCAUUACUGACGCUGAGGAGCGAAAGCGUGGGGAGCGAACAGG
rnacentral:rRNA from 1 species